CGGCGAGUGAAGCGGCAACAGCUCAAAUUUGAAAGCUAGCCUUCGGGUUCGCAUUGUAAUUUGUAGAGGAUGAUUUGGGGAAGCCGCCUGUCUAAGUUCCUUGGAACAGGACGUCAUAGAGGGUGAGAAUCCCGUAUGUGACAGGAAAUGGCACCCUAUGUAAAUCUCCUUCGACGAGUCGAGUUGUUUGGGAAUGCAGCUCUAAAUGGGAGGUAAAUUUCUUCUAAAGCUAAAUAUUGGCGAGAGACCGAUAGCGCACAAGUAGAGUGAUCGAAAGAUGAAAAGCACUUUGGAAAGAGAGUUAAAAAGCACGUGAAAUUGUUGAAAGGGAAGCGCUUGCAAUCAGACUUGUUUAAACUGUUCGGCCGGUCUUCUGACCGGUUUACUCAGUUUGGACAGGCCAGCAUCAGUUUCGGCGGCCGGAUAAGGCUCUGGGAAUGUGGCCUCCACUUCGGUGGAGGUGUUAUAGCCCAGGGUGUAAUACGGCCAGCCGGGACUGA
rnacentral:rRNA from 1 species